rnacentral:rRNA from 1 species
UACGUAGGGUGCAAGCGUUGUCCGGAAUUAUUGGGCGUAAAGAGCUCGUAGGCGGUCUGUCGCGUCGGCUGUGAAAACUCGGGGCUCAACCCCGAGCCUGCAGUCGAUACGGGCAGACUAGAGUGCUGUAGGGGAGACUGGAAUUCCUGGUGUAGCGGUGAAAAUGCGCAGAUAUCAGGAGGAACACCGGUGGCGAAGGCGGGUCUCUGGGCAGUAACUGACGCUGGAGGAGCGAAAGCGUGGGGAGCGAACAGG